UGAGGAAUAUUGGGUCAAUGGGCGCUAGCCUGAACCAGCCAAGUAGCGUGAAGGAUGACUGCCCUAUGGGUUGUAAACUUCUUUUAUAUGGGAAUAAAGUGCAGUAUGUAUACUGCUUUGCAUGUACCUUAUGAAUAAGGAUCGGCUAACUCCGUGCC
rnacentral:rRNA from 1 species